rnacentral:snRNA from 1 species
AGAAGUGAAGAGGAUCAGGCUGUAUCAUGUCACUGCACUGACUGCCAGGGUUGAUUUGGAUGAUCUAGCUGCUUAGUGUCAUUUUCCCCCUUCCUUCCUUCCUUCCUUCCUUCCUUCCUUCCUUCCUUCCUUCCUUCCUUCCAGCUCCACGUGUGUUCUUCUCAAAGUUGCACAUUUAGUCAAAGAGGAUGAUCUUUCUUUGGUCAAGCAUAUACCUGCUCUUCCCAGGUAGAACCUCCAAACAAGCUCUCAAGGUCCAAAUGCAUACCAGUAUGGCUAUAGUUACUGAAGUUUGCUCUUGGGAUAACUU